rnacentral:rRNA from 1 species
GACGAACGCUGGCGGCGUGCUUAACACAUGCAAGUCGAACGGAAAGGCCCUGCUUUUGUGGGGUGCUCGAGUGGCGAACGGGUGUGUAACCCGUGAGUAACCUGCCCUUGACUUUGGGAUAACUUCAGGAAACUGGGGCUAAUACCGGCUAGGAGCUCCUGCUGCAUGGUGGGGGUUGGAACGUUUCGGCGGUUGGGGAUGGACUCACGGCUUGUCAGCUUGUGGGUGGGGUAAAGGCUUACCAAGGGGUCGAUGGGUCGCCGGCCUGAGAGGAUGAUCAGUGACCCUGGAACUGAGACAAGGUCCAGGCUCCUACGGGAGGCAGCAGUGGGGAAUAUUGGACAAUGGGCGAAAGCGUGAGCAAGCCAUGCCGCGUGUGUGAAGAAGGUCUUCGGAUUGUAAAGCACUUUAAGUUGGGAGGAAGGGCAGUAAGUUAAUACCUUGCUGUUUUGACGUUACCAACAGAAUAAGCACCGGCUAACUUCGUG